UACGUAGGGUGCGAGCGUUAAUCGGAAUCACUGGGCGUAAAGGGUGCGCAGGCGGGACAUUAAGUCAGGGGUGAAAGACGGUUGCUCAACAAUCGCAGUGCCUUUGAUACUGGUGUUCUUGGGUAACCUUGAGGUAGGCGGAAUGGGUGGUGUAGCGGUGAAAUGACAUGGAUACCACCCAGAACUCCGAUUGCGAAGGCAGCCUACUGGAGGUCAACCGACGCUCAGGCACGAAAGCGGUGGGGAAUCAAACAGGG
rnacentral:rRNA from 1 species